rnacentral:rRNA from 1 species
UACAGGGGGUGCAAACGUUGCUCGGAAUUAUUGGGCGUAAAGCGCGCGUAGGCGGCUACUUAAGUCGGAUGUGAAAGCCCUUGGCUCAACUGAGGAAGUGCACCCGAAACUGAGUGGCUUGAGUACGAAAGAGGGUCGCGGAAUUCCCGGUGUAGAGGUGAAAUUCGUAGAUAUCGGGAGGAACACCGGUGGCGAAGGCGGCGAGCCUGGGUCGAUACUGACGCUGAUGCGCGAAAGCGUGGGGAGCAAACAGGA